UCCCGUCCCCUUCAGGUUGACCGAAACUUGCAGCAACCCACGUUUGCUUAAUUCCAGCUCUUCCACCGCUGGAAAGUAUAAGAAGUUGUUCAAGCUGUUGUUCGACCCCCGGUCGCCGCUUUAUCACCACCGGAGCGGAUUUCCCCCACCCGGUAGUGAGUGUGCACCAGUUUGUGUUACCUGAACCCACGACGAAACAGACGAAGGGCCGACCCCAAAACAAUGAAUAUGUUUUCCAGUCGCUUGGUUUCGGUGCUCUUCGUGUUCGCGUCCACAGCGACAGGUGUAAGUGGCUUUUCAGUUACCACUUCCAAUGCAAACGUGCAAGUUAAAGAAAAUGAAGGGGUUGAUCUUGCAUGCUCUUAUUCUGCGGACUUUGGUUCAAGUGCGAGGGUGGAGUGGAAGUUCAAGGACCUUACAGGGUCACAGAAAUAUGUCUAUUAUGAUGGGAAACCCACAGCACCAUAUUCCAACCGUGUCACGAUUUAUGGCAGCAAUCUGAGAUUCAGCAAGGUGACCCGUAACGAUAAUGGAGUGUACGACUGUGAGGUGUCUGGUGUCAAUAGCCAGUUUGGGGAGGCCAGGGUGAAACUCACAGUUCUUGUACCUCCGUCACCACCCUUGUGUAGGAUCCCCACCUCAGUGACAACUGGCAAGAGUACUAUCCUGUCCUGCCACGAUGGGGACGGCUCACCCCCUCCCCAGUACAAGUGGUACCGAAACGACGUCCUCCUGCCACCUGAGCCCAGCAAGAUUUCCGGCUUCCAGAACAGUACCUAUAUGCUGAACUCUGCGAAUGGCAACCUGGAGUUUCCCUCUGUCAAAAAGAUGGAUACGGCACAGUACUCCUGUGAGGCUUUCAACAUUGCUGGUCCUCCUCAGCGCUGUAGAGCUGUGAAAAUGGAAGUCCGUGACAUGAACACCGGAGGCAUUGUUGCUGGGGUAAUUGUGGCUCUGCUGUUGCUUGUCCUGCUCGCUCUGGGAAUUUGGUAUGCUCACAAGAAAGGAUACCUGCCUCGAAUGACUGAAAGGUAAGAAUAUUUCCUUUUUUUUUUAUUAUUAUUAGACAAUGGAUUACAUCAGACAAUCAAUUUCCACAGUACCUAAACUGAUGUGUAAAUUUUUCCCCAAAGAGUAUGAAUGUAAAUUGAUUUUAGUCUCUGAAAUGUCUUGCAGCAAGCAAAAAACCAACGUGGUGUACCAGCCACCUUUGGUGUAUGGUGGUGAGGAUGAUGAUGAUAGCGAGUUCAAGCAGAAGUCAUCGUUUGUGGUGUAGUCUGCAAGCACCAGGCCUUGCUGGUUUUAAUUGUUUGAGUGUGCUUUUGCUGUUUUUACAUGCCAUCUUCACACUUUUUGUAUUAUAUGGUACAUCCUGUUCUGUUUUUACCUUCUGUAAAUAUAGCAUUUUUCGUUCAUGCUGUUUGUAAAAUCAGUCCUUCUUACCCGCCUUUUGUGUGACAGCCAGACUUUGUAAUAUUUUAGAUUAACAUUGCAUUUAAAUUACUGUACAAUUUCUUGCAGAAAUAAAUUUGUUACGUUCUCAAA